rnacentral:rRNA from 1 species
ACGGGGCCCGGCGACAAGACGGUGGAGCAUGUGGUUUAAUUCGAAGCAACGCGAAGAACCUACCAGGCCUUGACAUGCAGAGAACUUUCCAGAGAUGGAUUGGUGCCUUCGGGAACUCUGACACAGGUGCUGCAUGGCUGUCGUCAGCUCGUGUCGUGAGGUGUUGGGUUAAGUCCGUAACGAGCGCAACCCUUGUCCUUAGUUACCAGCACGUUAUGGUGGGCACUCUAAGGAGACUGCCGGUGACAAACCGGAGGAAGGUGGGGAUGACGUCAAGUCAUCAUGGCCCUUACGGCCUGGGCUACACACGUGCUACAAUGGUCGGUACAAAGGGUUGCCAAGCCGCGAGGUGGAGCUAAUCCCAUAAAACCGAUCGUAGUCCGGAUCGCAGUCUGCAACUCGACUGCGUGAAGUCGGAAUCGCUAGUAAUCGUGAAUCAGAAUGUCACGGUGAAUACGUUCCCGGGCCUU